UCCAGAAACUUACUUAUCGUCUUCAUCAGCGACCGAAUUUUAGGGUUCAUCCUUCUUUUCGAUCUCCGUUCUCAGACAACCACAAUGUUCUUAUACGUUCUCUGACAUCAGCAAUGGAGUUUCCAGAGACUGAGUGGCUCAAAUCGAGAAGAGUUUUUUUGUUGGUCUUCAGUUGCGACGUUUAGUCUUCUGUUAUUAUCAACCGACGAGUUACAGAUUCUUCUCCUUUAGUGCCUUCUUAACGCCAUAGAUAUUGAAUGCGACUUAUCCCUCUGCAAGGCGGUGUAUCUACACCUAUAAAAAGCUCAUCGAUCCUCCUUUCUGAUUUGAAGUCCGACUGCUGCUCCUCCAUGGUUGAAGUGCGAUUACACUGAUGAAAUUUCAGUUGAAGAGGAAACGUCAAUGCUUUGGUCAAAAGGUUCGAUAUCAGAGCAGCAGCCACGAGUGAAAAGAUAAUUUGUGUGUGGCGUUAAUCCAGAUGCGUCUACUAGAGCUUGAAAACUCAUCUAAUCUGAAAUAUACUAACGAUUGUCUAAGGAGUCUAAUGUUAUUGCUACGAACCUUGGCAAGAAUGUGAAACCUUGCUGUCUCAGGUUUACUGAACUACGAGAACAAGGAAGAGCAUGACUGCUGCCAUUCAUAUGAGGAUGUUCGUGACACAUUUAGAAACAAAGGUUGGGGUGUUACAAAUCCAGAUUUGAUUGACCAGGUGAGGUGUUGAUAAAAAAGGUUUGUCACCUUAUUGCUUUAAAUGUCAAAAUAUAUGGUUUAUAAUCCAGUAACCAAUCAGAUUCUAAAAUAUAUAGUCUUAACUUUUAUAGUUCAGUACUCCUAAAGAUCUUCUGUAAUUUCAAUUUAU